rnacentral:rRNA from 1 species
UCGAGAAUCAUUCGCAAUGGGCGAAAGCCUGACGAUGCGACGCCGUGUGAGCGAUGAAGGCCUUCGGGUUGUAAAGCUCUUUCGCCUGGGAACAAGAGAGGGUGACAAAUAGUCGUCCGAUUUGAGGGUACCAGGUAAAGAAGCACCGGCUAACUCCGUGCCAGCAGCUGCGGUAAUACGGAGGGUGCAAGCAUUAAUCGGAAUUAUUGGGCGUAAAGGGCGCGUAGGCGGCUUCUUAAGUCAGGUGUGAAAUUCUGGAACUCAAUUCCAGCGCUGCACUUGAAACUGGGAGGCUAGAGGGUUUGCGGAGAAAACGGAAUUCCACAUGUAGCGGUGAAAUGCGUAGAUAUGUGGAAGAACAUCGGUGGCGAAGGCGGUUUUCUAGUGGAUACCUGACGCUGAGGCGCGAAAGCAAGGGGAGCAAACAGG